UGCUAGUCGCACGAGCUCAGACUCGUGGCGAAUAGCUCAGUAACACGUGGCCAAACUACCCUUCGGAACACAAUACCCUCGGGAAACUGAGGCUAAUAGUGUAUACCACAUCACACCUGGAAUGAGUGAUGUGUCAAACGCUCCGGCGCCGAAGGAUGUGGCUGCGGCCGAUUAGGUAGACGGUGGGGUAACGGCCCACCGUGCCAAUAAUCGGUACGGGUCAUGAGAGUGAGAACCCGGAGACGGAAUCUGAGACAAGAUUCCGGGCCCUACGGGGCGCAGCAGGCGCGAAACCUUUACACUGCACGCCAGUGCGAUAAGGGAAUCCCAAGUGCGUAGGCAUAGAGCCUACGCUUUUGUCCACCGUAGGGAGGUGGACGAAUAAGGGCUGGGCAAGACCGGUGCCAGCCGCCGCGGUAAUACCGGCAGCCCGAGUGAUGGCCGAUCUUAUUGGGCCUAAAGCGUCCGUAGCUGGCCGCGCAAGUCCAUCGGAAAAUCCACCCGCUCAACGGGUGGGCGUCCGGUGGAAACUGCGUGGCUUGGGACCGGAAGGCGCGACGGGUACGUCCGGGGUAGGAGUGAAAUCCCGUAAUCCUGGACGGACCGCCGAUGGCGAAAGCACGUCGCGAGGACGGAUCCGACAGUGAGGGACGAAAGCCAGGGUCUCGAACCGGAUUAGAUACCCGGGUAGUCCUGGCCGUAAACAAUGUCUGUUAGGUGUGGCUCCCACUACGAGUGGGUGCUGUGCCGUAGGGAAGCCGCUAAACAGACCGCCUGGGAAGUACGUCCGCAAGGAUGAAACUUAAAGGAAUUGGCGGGGGAGCACUACAACCGGAGGAGCCUGCGGUUUAAUUGGACUCAACGCCGGACAUCUCACCAGCAUCGACUGUAGUAAUGACGAUCAGGUUGAUGACCUUAUCCGAGCUUCANAGAGGANGUGCAUGGCCGCCGUCANCUCGUACCGUGAGGCGUCCUGUUAAGUCAGGCAACGAGCGAGACCCGCAUCCUUACUUGCCAGCAGCACUGCGAAGUGGCUGGGGACAGUAGGGAGACCGCC
rnacentral:rRNA from 1 species